rnacentral:lncRNA from 1 species
GCUGGGGCCGCCGUUGGGCCUUCUCCCUCUAGGGGCCCAAGAGCCACUGGUACUCGGUGUCUGGGUGGCGGCAGGGGGGAUUUUUGUUCUUCCAGCACCUGCGGCUGUUGAGACCAGAGCACUUGGUGGUUGACCACAGGCUGGGGUAUUAGUUCACCCCUAGCUUCUCCCCAGCGAGAACUCAGGGCCUUUGGGCACAGGGGAUUAAGCUUCAAUCUGCUUAUGUGCAAGGGGAAGAAAUAGGCCCAUAGAGCAACAGUGGCGGGUCUACAGUCACACAGCCAACUUGUGCUUGUGGCAGUGGCAAGGUUGGUGAGUAUCUGAGUCUUCAGGCCAUGGUGUUUUCCCCUCGAGUGGAGCCUGGAAGCUGGUUCAGUGGGGCUGUCAACCACAGGUACCAACCCUGCCCUCCCCUACAGAGUAUGUGACACGUGCACAGCCAGUCACUGCAUCCCAGUGCUUGGACCAGUCACAGGGUCAAGGGUGCAGUGGCUCACACCUGUAAUCCCAGCAGUUUGGGAGUCCCAGGCAGGCAGAUCCCUGAAGUCAGGAGUUUGAGACCAGCCUGGGUGAAACCCCAUCUCUAAUAAAAGUACAAAAAAUUA